rnacentral:rRNA from 1 species
AACGAACGCUGGCGGCAGGCCUAACACAUGCAAGUCGAGCGAGAUCUUCGGGUCUAGCGGCGGACGGGUGAGUAACGCGUGGGAAUAUGCCCUUUGGUGCGGAAUAGCCUCGGGAAACUGGGAGUAAUACCGCAUGUGCCCUUCGGGGAAAGAUUUAUCGCCAAAGGAUUCGCCCGCGUUGGAUUAGGUAGGUGGUGGGGUAAUGGCCUACCAAGCCUACGAUCCAUAGCUGGUUUGAGAGGAUGAUCAGCCACACUGGGACUGAGACACGGCCCAGACUCCUACGGGAGGCAGCAGUGGGGAAUCUUAGACAAUGGGGGAAACCCUGAUCUAGCCAUGCCGCGUGAGCGAUGAAGGCCUUAGGGUUGUAAAGCUCUUUCAGCUGGGAAGAUAAUGACGGUACCAGCAGAAGAAGCCCCGGCUAACUCCGUGCCAGCAGCCGCGGUAACAC